AGGAAACGAGAAGUCGACGCGCCGCAAGGCGUCCGGCCCUCCGCGAGCACCCGCGGGGGUUCGGGUUCCGGACCCGGUCCGAUCCCGUUCCCACCGAGGGGCUGUCCGCGAUCAUGGAGGUGUCCUCGGACGGCGUCGAAACGCUUCUUUCCGGUCAGCGACGCUACGGCUUGGAUGGUCCACCCGACCCGUCUUGAAACACGGACCAAGGAGUCUAACAUGCGCGCGAGUCGUUGGGUCGGACACGCUCCGCUAAACCCAUAGGCGCAAUGAAAGUGAAGGCCGUCGCAUGGGCGGCCGAGGGAGGACGGGGCCGCUCGGGCGUUCCGGCGCUCGACGGUCCCCGCACCCCCGGGGCGUCUGAUCCCUCAUUGCGAGGGAAGGCGCACCCAGAGCGCACACGUUGGGACCCGAAAGAUGGUGAACUAUGCCUGGCCAGGACGAAGUCAGGGGAAACCCUGAUGGAGGUCCGUAGCGAUUCUGACGUGCAAAUCGAUCGUCGGAGCUGGGUAUAGGGGCGAAAGACUAAUCGAACCAUCUAGUAGCUGGUUCCCUCCGAAGUUUCCCUCAGGAUAGCUUGCGCUCGGAGGAGAGUCUCAUCCGGUAAAGCGAAUGAUUAGAGGCCUUGGGGCCGAAACGGCUUCAACCUAUUCUCAAACUUUAAAUGGGUGAGAACUCCGGCUUGCUCGAUUUAUCGAAGCCGGAGACGGGGUCCGUCCCCUCGGGGGCGGGCCCCCGGGAUCGGAGUGCAUAGUGGGCCACUUUUGGUAAGCAGAACUGGCGCUGUGGGAUGAACCAAACGACGGGUUAAGGCGCCCGAAUCGACGCUCAUGGGAAACCAUGAAAGGUGUUGGUUGCUUAAGACAGCAGGACGGUGGCCAUGGAAGUCGGAAUCCGCUAAGGAGUGUGUAAUAACUCACCUGCCGAAGCAACUAGCCCUGAAAAUGGAUGGCGCUGAAGCGUCGUGCCUAUACCCGGCCGUCGCGGCAGGGCGGACCCGGCCUCGAGUCGGGUGCCGCUUGAUGCGGCGACGAGUAGGAGGGUCGCGGCGGCGUGCGCAGAAGGGUCUGGGCUCGAGCCUGCCUGGAGCCGCCGCCGGUGCAGAUCUUGGUGGUAGUAGCAAAUACUCCAGCGAGGCCCUGGAGGACUGAUGUGGAGAAGGGUUUCGUGUGAACAGCCGUUGCACACGAGUCAGUCGAUCCUAAGCCCUAGGAGAAAUCCGACGUCAAUAGCGACGGGAUUUUAAGAAAGUCACCCGUUGAUCGGGCGAAAGGGAAUCCGGUUCCUAUUCCGGAACCCGGCAGCGGAACCGCUGUUUGUCGGGCCCUCACAAGGGGUUCGUCAGGGUAACCUAAAAGGGCCCGGAGACGCCGUCGGGAGCCCCGGAAAGAGUUUUCUUUUCUGCAUGAGCGUUCGAGUUCCCUG
rnacentral:rRNA from 1 species